rnacentral:rRNA from 1 species
GUGGGGAAUAUUGGGCAAUGGGCUAAAGCCUGACCCAGCAACGCCGCGUGAAGGAAGAAGGUCUUCGGAUCGUAAACUUCUAUCCUUGGUGAAGAUAAUGACGGUAGCCGAGAAGGAAGCCCCGGCUAACUACGUGCCAGCCGCCGCGGUAAUACGUAGGGGGCAAGCGUUGUCCGGAAUGAUUGGGCGUAAAGGGCGCGUAGGCGGCCUGGUAAGUCUGGAGUGAAAGUCCUGCUUUUAAGGUGGGAAUUGCUUUGGAUACUGUCGGGCUUGAGUGCAGGAGAGGUAAGUGGAAUUCCCGGUGUAGCGGUGAAAUGCGUAGAGAUCGGGAGGAACACCAGUGGCGAAGGCGACUUACUGGACUGUAACUGACGCUGAGGCGCGAAAGUGUGGGGAGCAAACAGGAUUAGAAACCCCAGUAGUCC